rnacentral:rRNA from 1 species
CGCAUAACGUCGCAAGACCAAAGAGGGGGACCCUCGGGCCUCUUGCCAUCGGAUGUGCCCAGAUGGGAUUAGCUUGUUGGUGGGGUAACGGCUCACCAAGGCGACGAUCCCUAGCUGGUCUGAGAGGAUGACCAGCCACACUGGAACUGAGACACGGUCCAGACUCCUACGGGAGGCAGCAGUGGGGAAUAUUGCACAAUGGGCGCAAGCCUGAUGCAGCCAUGCCGCGUGUAUGAAGAAGGCCUUCGGGUUGUAAAGUACUUUCAGCGGGGAGGAAGGGAGUAAAGUUAAUACCUUUGCUCAUUGACGUUACCCGCAGAAGAAGCACCGGCUAACUCCGUGCCAGCAGCCGCGGUAAUACGGAGGGUGCAAGCGUUAAUCGGAAUUACUGGGCGUAAAGCGCACGCAGGCGGUUUGUUAAGUCAGAUGUGAAAUCCCCGGGCUCAACCUGGGAACUGCAUCUGAUACUGGCAAGCUUGAGUCUCGUAGAGGGGGGUAGAAUUCCAGGUGUAGCGGUGAAAUGCGUAGAGAUCUGGAGGAAUACCGGUGGCGAAGGCGGCCCCCUGGACGAAGACUGACGCUCAGGUGCGAAAGCGUGGGGAGCAAACAGGAUUAGAUACCCUGGUAGUCCACGCCGUAAACGAUGUCGACUUGGAGGUUGUGCCCUUGAGGCGUGGCUUCCGGAGCUAACGCGUUAAGUCGACCGCCUGGGGAGUACGGCCGCAAGGUUAAAACUCAAAUGAAUUGACGGGGGCCCGCACAAGCGGUGGAGCAUGUGGUUUAAUUCGAUGCAACGCGAAGAACCUUACCUGGUCUUGACAUCCACGGAAGUUUUCAGAGAUGAGAAUGUGCCUUCGGGAACCGUGAGACAGGUGCUGCAUGGCUGUCGUCAGCUCGUGUUGUGAAAUGUUGGGUUAAGUCCCGCAACGAGCGCAACCCUUAUCCUUUGUUGCCAGCGGUCCGGCCGGGAACUCAAAGGAGACUGCCAGUGAUAAACUGGAGGAAGGUGGGGAUGACGUCAAGUCAUCAUGGCCCUUACGACCAGGGCUACACACGUGCUACAAUGGCGCAUACAAAGAGAAGCGACCUCGCGAGAGCAAGCGGACCUCAUAAAGUGCGUCGUAGUCCGGAUUGGAGUCUGCAACUCGACUCCAUGAAGUCGGAAUCGCUAGUAAUCGUGGAUCAGAAUGCCACGGUGAAUACGUUCCCGGGCCUUGUACACACCGCCCGUCACACCAUGGGAGUGGGUUGCAAAAGAAGUAGGUAGCUUAACCUUCGGGAGGGCGCUUACCACUUUGUGAUUCAUGACUGGGGUGAAGUCGUAACAAGGUAACCGUAGGGGAACCUGCGGUUGGAUCAC